rnacentral:rRNA from 1 species
UACGGAGGGGGGCUAGCGUUGUUCGGAAUUACUGGGCGUAAAGCGCACGUAGGCGGCUUUGUAAGUUAGAGGUGAAAGCCCGGGGCUCAACUCCGGAAUUGCCUUUAAGACUGCAUCGCUAGAAUUGUGGAGAGGUAAGUGGAAUUCCGAGUGUAGAGGUGAAAUUCGUAGAUAUUCGGAAGAACACCAGUGGCGAAGGCGACUUACUGGACACAUAUUGACGCUGAGGAGCGAAAAGCGUGGGGGAGCGAACAGG